AUUCCAGCUCCAAUAGCGUAUAUUAAAGUUGUUGUGGUUAAAAAGCUCGUAGUUGGAUCUCGGCGGUCUGAGGGCGGUUCGCUUCAGAGCGCUACUGCCCUAUAGACCGUAGUUUUGCCAGAGGUCUCAGGGUGCUCUUAACCGAGUGUCUUGCGAUGCUGGCAGGUUUACUUUGAAAAAAUUAGAGUGCUCAAAGCAGGCUUUUACGCCUGAAUAUUCGUGCAUGGAAUAAUAGAAUAGGAAGUCGUUUCUAUUUUGUUGGUUUUCGGAAAUCGACUUAAUGAUUAAUAGGGACAGUUGGGGGCAUUAGUAUUCCAUUGUCAGAGGUGAAAUUCUUGGAUUUAUGAAAGACUAACUUCUGCGAAAGCAUCUGCCAAGGAUGUUUUCAUUG
rnacentral:rRNA from 1 species